GUCAGGGAAAACGAUGCUGCUACAUUCACUUCAAUUAACUGGUAAUGGAUUAACUGCUUAUCUUCCAUUCCUUUCCUACAACUUUCAAAGUGUACUGAGCUAGAAUUGUUAACAAUGAGUAUUACUUAACUAUUUUAUCGUCGUAAUGAGAACAUUUUAUAUAACAAGGUGGAUAAAAAAAUGGAGCAUUUUAGGAUUAAAUAUUCCUCACCGUCUUCUGAGAUUCAUCUUGAAGAGAAAAGAGUUUUUUCAACUUACGGAAGGUUAGAGAUUGCCCAGUUUAUGCUAAAUAGAUGCUUUGCUAUUCAGAGAAGUAAAUCAAUUUAGUUCAGGCGUCACUACUCAUACUAAUGAUAGCUUGGAUUGCAUUAAUUAACUUAAUGAGAAGACAUUAUCGAUUAACUAACAUGGAGUUAAAGUGCUAAAUAAUUGAUAAAAAAGUUGUUCAUUCUAGAGGAUAUUUUUUGGCUAGCAAUACCUCCUUCAAAUAAAUUUCCAAUGAUUCAAGUGAUACCUUAAUGCAUUGUGGAUCCAGUCCAAUUCUCACAUAUAAUAGCACCACAAAAUCUUUUGUAUUUGUA